rnacentral:lncRNA from 1 species
CAUCCUUUUUGGAAUGACAGUCAUCUCAUCUGAAGGCAGAUGUCUAAAGUAUGUUUUCUGAAUCAUGGAUAUUUUUGUCCACUGGCUUUAUUGGAACUUCAGGUGAAUAGCUGAGUUGGAGCUGCCUGUAAUAGAGUUGCUCAGACUUAAAUGAGAUUAUUCCUACCUGAAAUGCCAGCAACUACCCACCACCCUUCCUAUCUGCUCUGUACACCAAGAGCUGUAUGACAGGUGGACAGCUGCCUUCUGAGAGCCUUUGUCUGCAGCUGCUAUGUUCUCCAUCUGCCUGCCUUUGUUACCACUCCUUGCUGCUGCACUUGGCUUUGCUGAUUCUCCCAAGAUCUCUCAUCCAAGGUCCCUGACUCCUCCUGAGUUGGCUGCAACUUCCAGCUAUUGCUGUGAUCUCUGGUUGUCCUGCAGUACAUGCCAUGAGAUACCACAGAAAUAACUGCAAGUGUUCAGCUGGAACAUGCAAAGGCUUGAUAAUGUGAACCACAGGAAAUGAGGAGAUAAGGUAAAACAAUUCAUAGCUCUUGCUCAGCAGUAGAAGGAGGAGCUGAAAAGAAGAGCGAAGAGCACUUAUCUGGAGGAUGCAUAUUAAGACUUUCUGCUAUUCCUAUGCUUGGAAAAAAAAUAAUUCAGAUAACUGUAUAGCUGCAGCUCUUAUGCAAGAUGAUAAGAGAAAAGAAUAAAGGACUUCUUUGGAAAGAACA